GGUUAAGCGACUAAGCGUACACGGUGGAUGCCCUGGCAGUCAGAGGCGAUGAAGGGCGUGCUAAUCUGCGAUAAGCGCCGGUAAGGUGAUAUGAACCGUUAUAACCGGCGAUACCCGAAUGGGGAAACCCAGUGUGAUUCGUCACACUAUCAUUAACUGAAUCCAUAGGUUAAUGAGGCGAACCGGGGGAACUGAAACAUCUAAGUACCCCGAGGAAAAGAAAUCAACCGAGAUUCCCCCAGUAGCGGCGAGCGAACGGGGAGGAGCCCAGAGCCUGAAUCAGCAUGUGUGUUAGUGGAAGCGUCUGGAAAGGCGCGCGAUACAGGGUGACAGCCCCGUACACAAAAGCGCAUGUGCUGUGAGCUCGAUGAGUAGGGCGGGACACGUGGUAUCCUGUCUGAAUAUGGGGGGACCAUCCUCCAAGGCUAAAUACUCCUGACUGACCGAUAGUGAACCAGUACCGUGAGGGAAAGGCGAAAAGAACCCCGGCGAGGGGAGUGAAAAAGAACCUGAAACCGUGUACGUACAAGCAGUGGGAGCAC
rnacentral:rRNA from 9 species